rnacentral:rRNA from 1 species
GAUGAACGCUGGCGGCGUGCCUAAUACAUGCAAGUCGAGCGAACGGACGAGAAGCUUGCUUUUCUGAUGUUAGCGGCGGACGGGUGAGUAACACGUGGAUAACCUACCUAUAAGACUGGGAUAACUUCGGGAAACCGGAGCUAAUACCGGAUAAUAUUUUGAACCGCAUGGUUCAAAAGUGAAAGACGGUCUUGCUGUCACUUAUAGAUGGAUCCGCGCUGCAUUAGCUAGUUGGUAAGGUAACGGCUUACCAAGGCAACGAUGCAUAGCCGACCUGAGAGGGUGACCGGCCACACUGGAACUGAGACACGGUCCAGACUCCUACGGGAGGCAGCAGUAGGGAAUCUUCCGCAAUGGGCGAAAGCCUGACGGAGCAACGCCGCGUGAGUGAUGAAGGUCUUCUGAUCGUAAAACUCUGUUAUUAGGGAAGAACAUAUGUGUAAGUAACUGUGCACAUCUUGACGGCACCUAAUCAGAAAGCCACGGCUAACUACGUG